rnacentral:lncRNA from 1 species
GUGUCUUUUGCAGCCUUGGGUGCGGAAGAGUGCUUACUCUUCAUCUUCAAACUUUUUGAUAGGAAGUAUGAAAAUUUUGUACUAUGUGUCAAUCUUAUUGAAUCUUGGCAGCAUUUUCGGAUUCCUGCGGAGAAGCUGUAACACUGCACAAGUGCAAUGAACCAAGCCCCUUGCUCCAAGGAGAUUUCCAUUUCUAGAACUAUUUACGUUCAGGAGAAAAGUCUACUCUGGAGCUCUACCCUGAGAUGAAGUAAAUCUAAG